CAAACACAUCAUGUGUGAUCUAGAACUGGCUGAAUCAAGGAAACAGCUACAUUGAUUUUAGGCAUCAACUUUGAUGUAAAUAAUGAAGCAACAAUAAGAAGAAUCUUGACUGCAGCAGGUGCCCUGCCUUUGAAAGGGUCCUGUAAGUCAAAUGAUUCUGUUGCUUCUCUCAUGUUCCAUCCACAGAGGGAAAUGUUGCUUGAAGAAAGGCCAUAUGCACUGGUGGAUGAUUCUGCUGACUAUUUUUAAGGAAAGAUGUCUGUUCUGAGAAUGUGACAGCUGAAUCUGUCGCCUCUGACCUUCACAAUUAAAAUAAAUUGAUGAUCAGCUGGUGGGUGGGACUAACAGUGGCAAGGAUAUGCUGAUGUAAAUACAUAAAUCCAAUGUAUGUCCCAGUUACUCUGUCCACAAGAUUUUGUCUGUUUUGUCACCCUUUACUUACCUUGUGGGGGAGAUGCUUAUUUCUCUUCAUCCAUCUGUGGUUCUACUGGAUUUUCUACAUACUGAGUUUUUGCCAGUUGGAACACUGAGCUGUGUUUCUGAUCAAAAUGAGUUGAGUGAUUCCAAUUUGACUGAAUGAUGGAAACCCCAAAUCCUUCCAGCCUGCAGUGGUGUCAGAGAAGGACUAUUAUGUUUUCAACAGCUGAUGGUGUACCCAGAAACAGAUAUUGUUUUCUCUUUUCAGCCCUUUUCCUUCCUUUCUGGGGACUGUAAUGCACUUAGGAGUUCAGCUGUUUAUAAUGAGGGGAUUUCAAUCUGGUUUGAGCUAAUUCUAGCAAGUAAGUACCUUUAUAGACUCACCUUUGGCACAAGUUAAAAUGGUCUACUUAUCCAGAGAAUGGACCUAAAAAGUGCAAUCAUCACUUGAUCUGCCAUUCUGAAGCAAGGCUGUCUAUUGAAUGUCCCUAUUUUGUUUUGGUGGUAUUGAUUCCCCAGAACUGAUUGCAUUUCAGGAAGCAGCACACCUCUUUCUUCCUCAGGCUCUCCUCAACAACCACUUUGUCUUAGCAGUGGUGGCUGAGCUGCUAAAGCUGCUGCUUUAGAGAAAGCAGAUUUAGCAGGAACUAAUCUAAAAGCCAAAAAAAACCAAAAAAGAAGGCCAGACCCCUCAAAGAAUUGGCAUGACCUUCAGGUGGGCCAGUGCAUUGGAGUGGUCAUAAUGGAAUUAAUCUACAUCUGCACCUGGUGGGGAAAAGUCAUGGAGUGAAGCAGGAUCUGUUUUUACUGAGAUCCACAACAUGAGCAUGAUUUAUCCCUGUUUUGCUCCUGUAUGGCUCUGUUAGCUGCACUUAGUGGUCUGAGGGGUUUACUGUAAAGAUGUUUUCUCCUGGUUCUGUUCCCAGUUGCUGUAAAUCAGAAGCUGUUUCACUGAGCUUGUGACUGGAGUUGUAUAAAACUAGUGCAGAUUCUGGGGUUUUUUUCAAGAAUUUCAAAGAAUCCUGUUUAUUGCAUAGUAUUUUUGGCUGUCAGCAACAAAUGACUGUUUCUGGAUGAAUUGCUGCUCCCAUGUGUGAGAGGGUUGGAUGCUGCUUUAGGUAAAGCCCAGAGAAGGAUUGCGGUAAAAUUGCUCAGGCCAACAAAUCUUCUGUGAUUUCUGGAAUUCUGUCCCAGGGUCAUUAGAAUCAAGCUCCAACUUGUGUAAGAAAGUCUUUCAACAGCUUUUGUAAUGAAGUUUUUGUUGAGGAAGGACAAAGAUUGCCCCAAACUUUUGCAGUGGCUCUGAAGAUGCUGUGUGGAUUUGGGGGGAGAGAGACCAUUUCUCCCACGUUGGAAAGGACCCCAGUGUGCCCGAGGACACAGGUUGCUGAUAGCAGGAUACAGAUCCCCUCAAUUCCUGGGUAAUUCUGAAAACUGUGU